UACGAAGGGGGCUAGCGUUGCUCGGAAUGACUGGGCGUAAAGGGCGCGUAGGCGGCUUGUAUAGUCGGAUGUGAAAUUCCUGGGCUUAACCUGGGGGCUGCAUACGAGACGUAUGGGCUUGAGUACUGAAGAGGAUCGCGGAAUUCCCGGUGUAGAGGUGAAAUUCGUAGAUAUCGGGAGGAACACCAGUGGCGAAGGCGGCGAUCUGGGCAGAUACUGACGCUGAGGUGCGAAAGCGUGGGGAGCAAACAGG
rnacentral:rRNA from 1 species